CUAGAAAUAUGUGUUAACAACUAUGAUAUCUACAAUAUUGUUGCAAGUAAAAGCCAUGCUUAUAUCUGUAUAAGCUGAAUUGGAAUGCAGGCUAAUAUUUAAGACAGGUUUGUAUUCAAGACACGCUUAUAUGCUGUUUGAACACACUAUGGUAUAGACUUGACAACCUUAAAUCACUUGAAAACAAGAUUCAUUAAGAUAUCUAGACAUGACUACCAUGAGAUGUCAGUUUCAAGAGCGUGAGCUGCUUUUUUGUCAUCAUUGUUGGUGUCAUUGAAAUGCUGCACACACGCAUCGACCCACACGCACACACGCACUGACUCACACGCACAUGGAGGUGACUGAGCACGUAAUCGUGCUGUGCGUCUUAAGCAAAAGCUCGGCUUCUAAACACGACUGGCUUGUAUGCAGCAAGAGGUCUUCUAUUUUCGGGUUGUAUCUGAGAUCAGCGUGUAUUCGAGGUUGGCUUUUAUUUGCGACAGUACGGUAGUUAUGUUGUUUGUUUUGUGUAUUAGUGGGAGAGGACAUUGUAGUGGUUAGUGUUUAGGUCUUUUUGCCUGUUUGUUGCUAUUUUCAACUAUUACAGAUGUAUUUAUAGUAGAAUGUUUGUCUAUUGUAUGUAGAUGUGCCUCAGUGGUUGAAGAGUUUAAGACUGCACAAAUACCAAGACCUGUUUGCACAUAUGGCUUAUGAAGAUAUGAUGAAAGUAACUGAAGAAGAACUUGAGGAUAGGAAUGUGACAAAAGGUGCAAGACACAAAAUUGUAAGCAGUAUCCAGAAACUAAAAGAUCGUUUCAAACAAUUGGAAUGUCUUGAAGAGGUCAGUUAUUUUUGCUAAAGAGACCAUUGUACAAAGGAGAACACAUGAAGAGGUAGCUGCAAUAUCACAAACCAUUGUAACAGUUGUUCCUGGGUGUUGUAAACGAUGGAAAUCAUCGUUGGACAAGUUUGUUUGCUUAAUUAAUCAUAAUCAGGCAUUUUAUGCAUAAGUGCUUGUUUCAUAUGUGUUAGCAACAGUCUUUGAUGCCUAGCACUUUCAUUUGCCUAAAUAUUGUGUAUUGUAUUGCUAAAAAAA